CGUGCAAGCAGGGCUGGGAACCAACGGAUCUCCCUCUGAAUUUCAAGAACUCCUAGUUCCUGCUUGUUCCAACAAUAACAAAGGAAAAGGCCUUUCUUUGGUGGCAUUUUGGCUUGCUGUCGCAGUGAAUCAUGGAGAGUGAGAAGCCUUUCCCAGGAUGACUCCCACUCUGGAGAGGACAGCUGAGUGCCUACCAUCGGGGCUGUACUGGAGAGACACCAGUUUGAAGAGUGUACAUCAGAAAACGAUCACAGCCCGUUCACAUGGUGUCUGCUGGGCCUAUUGUCAGCUAAUCGAGACCAGCCUUGCUCCACCCAAGUCAGUGUGGCAUCCAGGUUGGUAUGAGGAGCUUUCAUCUCCUGGAUGUGCCUUUUGGGAGGUAAUGCAAAGCCUGCUGCCAUCGGUCAGAAGAUUCCUGCUGUCUUCAGGGAAAUUCAGGUUCAAAGAUGCUGAAUCUCCACUCCCCUUCACUGUUCUCACACUGAAGUUAUUUAAGGGGAGAGGGAUCGGUAUCAAAUUGAUGGAAAGCCAAAAUGAUCUUGAUCCUCCUCUGAGACUUGCUGUUGAAUUGCAUUAUAUAUAAGCAGAGAAGCUUUUCUAUUAUUAAUAGGAUAGAAAAUCAGAACCAUCAAGGAAAAUUAUAUAAGUCCUAUUAAGAUGGAUGAGUUGGAGUUAUGUCCACAUACCUGCAAGGAGAUUGUUCUCUGCAGCUCCUAUGAAAGUGUAUUGUCCUUCCAAGGGGAGACCUCACCGGAGUGGGAACACACCAGGGGAAGGGCUGUUAACUUCUCCCAGCCUGGUGGGCAGCUCUGUGGGCAAUGGGCACAGCUGUGCAGGCACCAGGCUGCUCCAGAGGAUGCUCUGCACCAGGGUGGGAGGCCUAGGUCAGCCCCUCAGGAGCCAACCUCCCUUGUGAUCUUCUGCUGAAAUCCCUCUCUCCGUUGUCUGCCUU
rnacentral:lncRNA from 1 species